UUCCCUAGAUCGCCUUUAUGAAGUCAAAUAGUCCCAAAUUCAGAGAUAUGGCUUAAUACAACAGGCAUCACGGGACACUUAACAAACUGGAGGCGUUAAAGGAGGCAUUUAAAAAAUGAAUAAGAAAACGCAUACAAGUUCGCAGACUUCCUGUUGGAGCUCAAAGUGAGCUGUGUUGUGGACUUUCUUUUUUUAAAGGAGUUAGUGGUUCAUGCUUUCAUAAUGCAGCUUUAUAAAUUUAUCUGAUAAAUACAAAAUGGCUUAUGUGCUUCUUUCAAUAGUGAGAAGCUGAAGUCCAGUUUUCUAGUUUGCAGCUGCGAUCAUUGUCUCUUCUGUGUUUUUACAGAACUUAAUAUAACUUGAGCUCAGUCCUGUAGUUGCCCAAAGGCUCUGUUCCAUCAGAUGUGCCCGACAGGAGCAGUGGUGCUUGAUUUAUGUCAGAUUUCACUUUCUCUUGGCCCACAAUACCAGGCAUGACUUCAACAACUUGUGUCCGUAUUUUGCUCAGACUCUUUGACACGAGCUUGGGAGAGCUGAUCUGGGCAGCAGAAGGUUGCCCAGUCCCUUGCCUAACUUCCAGCUGUGGAUGCUGUACAUCUACAAAGGGCAAUUACACCUUCAACUGAGACUUGAGGAAUCCUUGUCAUGGGAAGAAAAGCACAGAAGGUGAUGUGCUUCUGGUCACCUGAUGACUUACAAGGUCUCUUUUUUCUCACAUUAUCCUUUCAGUGCAUGGAUGAAAGGAAGGAAAAGGCUGCUCAAACUGGCAGGUUCUCCUAACCAUGUGUCCUUCUGGCAGCUGUGUGGAUGCGAUGGGGAUGGAAGGUAAAACAAUGAUUCCAGAGGGGCCUUUCUCAGUCC
rnacentral:lncRNA from 1 species